rnacentral:lncRNA from 1 species
UGGCGUUUCACUCACCUUUCAAAACCACCAUUGCUCUUUCUCUCUUAGUUUUUCUCUCUCUCUUUUUCACUUCUUCCCAUUCUGCCCUCACCUGCGCCUCCUAUAAGCUUCCGGCAAACCGCACCUACGCCAACUGCACCGCCCUCCCCACCCUCGGCGCCAUCCUCCACUACACCUUCAACGCCACAAACCGCACCCUCGCCAUCGCGUACGCCGCAGAGCCACCCAAAUCUGGGUGGGUGGCCUGGGGGCUCAACCUCGCCGGUGGCGGCAUGAUCGGCACGCAGGCCUUCAUUGCGAUCCCCGCCUCCGCCGGCGGCA